rnacentral:rRNA from 1 species
UACGUAGGGUGCAAGCGUUAUCCGGAUUUACUGGGCGUAAAGUGUAGUGUAGGCGGUUUACCGCAUCGUAUCUGAAAGCCCGAGGCUUAACCUCGGCGUUGGAUACGAGAUGGGUAUGACUUUUGAGUAUUGGAGAGGAAAGGGGAACUCAUGGUGAAGCAGUGAAAUGCGUUGAUAUCAUGAGGAACACCGAAGGCGAAGGCACCUUUCUGGCCAAUAACUGACGCUGAGACACGAAAGCUAGGGGAGC